UAUGUCAAUAUCAAAUAAAGGGCAAGGAACCUGGAGAAAGAAUUGAGGACAACCGGAACCAGUCAUCAGUGGUUCGCUACUGAUUUCAUCGGAACUCAAGGAUGUUUGUCUGAGAACAUCAACCACCUCAAGAAGCCCAGAGCCGGAACUGAGGGUCUUACUCUCAAUUGUGAUUCAAACUUGUUUUUCAUAUAUUGAUGCUGUCAAAUGGUUCACUCUACCUGAAGGAUGAAAUACAGACAAUUGCUUGCAGAGAAGGAUGCUGAAAAAAUUGGUGAUACAGAGAAAAAAGAUAGGUUGGAUUCAAUGAUACGUCUCCUUCGACUCUGAUCCAAGGGCCAGGGAAAAGCUGGGAACUAGGUUUCUGAGAAAGAGCUGAGGGGCAAGAGGAAGAAAGGAAAUCCAGGAAGAAGAGAAUUCCAGGUUUCAACUGGAGGCAAAUCCCAUUUAUACGUUCUACAAAGAGCCCCAGUGAGAACUGUUAAGACUCUGAGACACUUGGAUGUCCAUGAUCUGGCCUCAAAUAAAAAUAGGUUCUUUUUGGUACUGGCCCAGCACACCCACUCUGCUGCUGAGAAGCAGAAAAGCCUGUUUCGGAGUUAGUAAUGGAGUAAUCAUUUUAGGGAAGCUAUGGUACUAAAACUACAACCUAAGUACCGUAUCAGAAUUUAAAUAGCAACUUGACAAAACCAAAGAGAUGGAGCAAAAUUGAGUGCACCCUAAAAACUGGCAUCUCUCCCAAUAUACCAUUUAAUUAAUUAAUACAGAGAAAAUUUGCAUUUUCUUGUCUGACAUAUCAAAAGAACUCAAUAAAGUAAAAACAAGAUGCCAUUUAGAAUUCUAAUGCAACUUUGCGGAGUUCUCACAUUCAUUAAUUACUGAGUUGGACAAAGGCCUAUUAAUUAAAAUUCACACUUCAAGAUUAAAUUGUAUUUGCAUCUUCCUGUACAGGGACAUAAAUAAAAAUGAUACUGACGGGCACCUGG